ensembl:snoRNA SNORD82 Small nucleolar RNA SNORD82
AGCACAAGUGAUGAACAACAAAGGGACUUAAUACUGAAACCUGAUGUGGUAUGUGAUGCCUGAUGUGC